GUGGCUCAGUGGUAGAGCACUUGCCUUGCAUGCCUGAGGCCCUGGGUUCGAUUUUCCUAGC
rfam:Dipodomys ordii contig_15402, whole genome shotgun sequence.